UCCUACACCCUCAUACACUCUCUACACCUCUUCGUAUCAUUCGCGCUCACAUCUCGACACCCUCACUUCACCUCUGUGUAACCUGCAACGAGACAGACAGAACCGGAGCUCUCGCCAGAAUUUUUACGAUCCGUUUUACCACUUUCCAGCCUCACCGCAAGCAAUCGAAACCUCGUCGGCUGGACUUGCAAGCCGCCGGAGAUCACGACGGGACCAUCGCGCCUUGAUUCGAAGUUCGCCGUGAAACCAAAACACACCGGAGAACACGACGAAACUGUUUGGCCAUGUUUCGUUCGCCGAGGACGUCGCCGGAAUCACGAACCUCACCGGAGUCUACGUCGGAAACCCGAGUCGCCCACUGUGUUCGGGUAAUGAUUACAUUUCAACUUAUUCGUUUUCUCGGACGGUUUCAUUUUCAUGGAAACGCUACGCAAAACAGUUAAUUACUGAGAUGAUAUCCAAGACGAAACGAGAUUUAGGGUGGACUAGAUACACACCUAGAUUAAUCUAUCUUUUAUUUGUUAUGUUUUGUUAUGAGACAAUGUUGUUAUUUCCUUUUUGAAUCUUGUAUGAC